UACAGAGGGGGCGAGCGUUGUUCGGAAUUACUGGGCGUAAAGGGCGCGUAGGCGGCCUCUUAAGUCGAACGUGAAAUCCCCGGGCUCAACCCGGGAACUGCGUCCGAUACUGGGAGGCUUGAAUCCGGGAGAGGCAUGUGGAAUUCCAGGUGUAGCGGUGAAAUGCGUAGAUAUCUGGAGGAACACCGGUGGCGAAGGCGGCAUCCUGGACCGGUAUUGACGCUGAGGCGCGAAAGCCAGGGGAGCAAACGGG
rnacentral:rRNA from 1 species